rnacentral:lncRNA from 1 species
GGGAGGGGCGUGGCCGAGCCCGGGCUGGACCCCUGACGUCACCCACUCCCGGACCGCGAAGCUGCAGCCGAAGCGGGGAAGCCUCGGGAAAGCCAGAUGGGCGUCCGUCGUCUUUCCUGCAGCCGGUGGGCGUGAUCCACCGCCGUGCCCAGGCCUCCGGCUCCCUAGCACCCAACCUUUGGGAGUCCCGCUGCUGUCGAGAAAAGCCCUGGAUUUCUCCACUAACAACAGCAUGCUUCUCACCACCUUCAUGGGCAGCAAUUUUAUUAUUAACGUUCCAAAAUGUGUGUCUUCCUCCAAGUUUAAGUCAACCAAAGUCAGAGUAGCAGUGGCUCAACUUCCAGAUGCAUCCACUUUACCAGGU